rnacentral:rRNA from 1 species
UUGAGUAUUCUAAGGCGCUUGAGAGAACUCAGGAGAAGGAACUCGGCAAAUUGACACCGUAACUUCGGAAGAAGGUGUGCCCUAUUAGUGUGUAGUGAACAACGAAGCAUGAAUGGGUUGCAAAAAAUCGGUGGCUGCGACUGUUUAUUAAAAACACAGCACUCUGCAAACACGAAAGUGGACGUAUAGGGUGUGACGCCUGCCCGGUGCUGGAAGAUUAAAUGAUGGGGUGCAAGCUCUUGAUUGAAGUCCCAGUAAACGGCGGCCGUAACCAUAACGGUCCUAAGGUAGCGAAAUUCCUUGUCGGGUAAGUUCCGACCUGCACGAAUGGCGUAACGAUGGCCACACUGUCUCCUCCUGAGACUCAGCGAAGUUGAAAUGUUUGUGAUGAUGCAAUCUCCCCGCGGAAAGACGGAAAGACCCCAUGAACCUUUACUGUAGCUUUGUAUUGGACUUUGAACAGAUCUGUGUAGGAUAGGUGGGAGGCUUUGAAGCAGGGUCGCUAGAUCUCGUGGAGCCAACGUUGAAAUACCACCCUGGUGUGUUUGAGGUUCUAACCUAGGUCCAUUAUCUGGAUCGGGGACAGUGCAUGGUAGGCAGUUUGACUGGGGCGGUCUCCUCCCAAAGCGUAACGGAGGAGUUCGAAGGUACGCUAGUUACGGUCGGACAUCGUGACGAUAGUGCAAUGGCAUAAGCGUGCUUAACUGCGAGACUGACAAGUCGAGCAGAUGCGAAAGCAGGACAUAGUGAUCCGGUGGUUCUGUAUGGAAGGGCCAUCGCUCAACGGAUAAAAGGUACUCUGGGGAUAACAGGCUGAUACCGCCCAAGAGUUCAUAUCGACGGCGGUGUUUGGCACCUCGAUGUCGGCUCAUCUCAUCCUGGGGCUGUAGCCGGUCCCAAGGGUAUGGCUGUUCGCCAUUUAAAGAGGUACGUGAGCUGGGUUUAAAACGUCGUGAGACAGUUUGGUCCCUAUCUUCCGUGGGCGCUGCAGAUUUGAGUAAGCCUGCUCCUAGUACGAGAGGACCGGAGUGGACACACCUCUGGUGUAUCGGUUGUCACGCCAGUGGCAUUGCCGAGUAGCUAAGUGUGGAAGAGAUAACCGCUGAAAGCAUCUAAGCGGGAAACUCGUUUCAAGAUGAGAUCUGCCGGGGCCUUGAGCCCCCUAAAGAGUCGUUCAAGACCAGGACGUCGAUAGGUCAGGUGUGGAAGUG